rnacentral:rRNA from 1 species
UGGGGAAUCUUGCACAAUGGGCGAAAGCCUGAUGCAGCGACGCCGCGUGGAGGAUGAAGGCUUUCGAGUUGUAAACUCCUGUUAAGUGGGAAGAAAGACUCUGGGUUAAUACCCCAGGGGGAUGACGGUACCACUAGAGAAAGCACCGGCAAACUUCGUGCCAGCAGCCGCGGUAAUACGAAGGGUGCGAGCGUUAUUCGGAGUUACUGGGCGUAAAGAGCAUGUAGGUGGUUUAUUAAGUUAGUUGUUAAAUUCCAUGGCUUAACUGUGGACCUGCAGCUGAUACUGAUAAGCUAGAGCAUAGAAGAGAGAAGUGGAAUUCCCGGAGUAGCGGUAAAAUGCGUAGAUCUCGGGAGGAACACCGGUUGCGAAGGCGGCUUCUUGGUCUAUUGCUGACACUAAAGUGCGAAAGCGUGGGGAGCAAACAGG